rnacentral:rRNA from 1 species
AUUGAACGCUGGCGGCAGGCCUAACACAUGCAAGUCGAGCGGAGCUGCGGAAGGGUGAGUAAUGCCUAGGAAUCUGCCUGGUAGUGGGGGAUAACGUCCGGAAACGGGCGCUAAUACCGCAUACUAUCAGAUGAGCCUCGGUCGGAUUAGCUGGUUGGUGGGGUAAAGGCCUACCAAGGCGACGAGCCGUCACUGGUCUGAGAGGAUGAUCAGUCACAGUGGAACUGAGACACGGUCCAGACUCCUACGUGAGGCAGCAGUGGGGAAUAUUGGACAAUGGGCGAAAGCCUGAUCCAGCCACUGCGCGUGUGUGAAGAAGGUCUUCGGAGUGUAAAGCGCUUUAAGUUGUGAGGCGUUACCAACAGAAUAAGCACCGGCGAACUUCGUGCCAGCCGCCGCGGUAAUUC